GAUGAACGCUAGCGACAGGCCUAACACAUGCAAGUCGAGGGGCAGCAUAAAAGUAGCAAUACUUUGGUGGCGACCGGCGCACGGGUGAGUAACACGUAUGCAACCUGCCUGUAAGAGGGGAAUAACCCGGAGAAAUUCGGACUAAUACCGCAUAAUACCAAGAGACUGCAUGGUUUCUUGGUUAAACAUUUAUGGCUUACAGAUGGGCAUGCGUAUGAUUAGCUAGUUGGUGAGGUAACGGCUCACCAAGGCAACGAUCAUUAGGGGUUCUGAGAGGAAGGUCCCCCACACUGGUACUGAGACACGGACCAGACUCCUACGGGAGGCUG
rnacentral:rRNA from 1 species